UUUUUAGCUGAUAUUGGAAUAUUAAUUAUCAGUCAUUGUUAAGGAUGUUAUCUUCGAUAGUUGCUGUUUUAUCUCACAGACCUGCUGCUGUUCCUAUUUCAUCAGCAAGGGACUUGGCAUGCUGAAGAUAUUCACUAACAGAUGAGUCAUUCUUCUUUAAUUCUUGUAGUUCUAUGUUUGAAUAUAGUUGGCGAUUUUGAGAAACAUAUCCAAAUGCGUUAAAGCUUGUCAGACUUGGAAUGCGGUGGUUAAAGCAAUGAUAUAUGGAAAGAUUUCUUCAGUUAAGGAGGACAAGAAGCAUUGAGUUACGCUGAAACCAUGUUUGAUAUUCGGGAUUCUGAGCCUCUUGUGGUGGUGGAAGUGAUUGUUUUCGGUGGGGCGUGUGUUGUUCCAUCAAUGAAACUAUUAAGAUUUUUAGUAAUUGAGGAGAAGGAUGAUCAAUUGAGUUUUCCAAGCCAAAAAAUUCUUUGUGCUAAAUUUGAUAGAGUAGGCAUGAGUUGCUGAGAUUGAAGGAGAAGAAGGGAGAGCAGGUGGGUGGCCAUGAUUAAUUAAGCGUUUGAAGAAGAAGAGUUAAGGUGAUACUACUCAUGGCUCUGAUACCAUGUGAAGAUUAUUGGCCGAAAGAUGUUACCGUAUACAUUCUUUUAAGAGUACAAAUGAAGUUACAUAGUGC
rnacentral:misc_RNA from 1 species